rnacentral:rRNA from 1 species
CUCGUAGGCGGCCAACUAAGUCAGACGUGAAAUCCCUCGGCUUAACCGGGGGACUGCGUCUGAUACUGGAUGGCUUGAGGUUGGGAGGAGGGAUGCGGAAUUCCAGGUGUAGCGGUGAAAUGCGUAGAUAUCAGGAGGAACACCGGUGGUGUAGACGGCUUUCUGGACCGUAACUGACGCUGAAACACGAAAGCGUGGGUAGCAAACA